UGGGGAAUAUUGCACAAUGGGCGCAAGCCUGAUGCAGCAACGCCGCGUGAACGAUGAAGGUCUUCGGAUCGUAAAGUUCUGUUGCAGGGGAAGAUAAUGACGGUACCCCGUGAGGAAGCCCCGGCUAACUACGUGCCAGCAGCCGCGGUAAUACGUAGGGGGCUAGCGUUAUCCGGAUUUACUGGGCGUAAAGGGUGCGUAGGUGGUCUUUCAAGUCGGUGGUUAAAGGCUACGGCUCAACCGUAGUUAGCCUCCGAAACUGGAAGACUUGAGUGCAGGAGAGGAAAGUGGAAUUCCCAGUGUAGCGGUGAAAUGCGUAGAUAUUGGGAGGAACACCAGUAGCGAAGGCGGCUUUCUGGACUGCAACUGACACUGAGGCACGAAAGCGUGGGUAGCAAACAGG
rnacentral:rRNA from 1 species